UACAGAGGGUGCGAGCGUUAAUCGGAAUUACUGGGCGUAAAGCGCGCGUAGGCGGCUUUGCAAGUCGGUUGGGAAAUCCCCCGGCUCAACUGGGGAGGGUCACGCGAUACUGAUCGACUCGAAGGCAGGAGAGGGAAGUGGAAUUCCCGGUGUAGUGGUGAAAUGCGUAGAUAUCGGGAGGAACACCAGUGGCGAAGGCGACUUCCUGGACUGUUCUUGACGCUGAGGCGCGAAAGCUAGGGGAGCAAACGGG
rnacentral:rRNA from 1 species